GAUGAACGCUGACAGAAUGCUUAACACAUGCAAGUCGAUGGGGAAGUGGUGCUUGCACCAUGGCAACCAUGGCGGACGGGUGAGUAACGCGUAAGGGACUUACCUGCAGGACUGGGAUAACAGGGGGAAACUCCUGACAAGACCGGAUAAUGUCAUGGAGCUGCAUGGCUUUAUGAUGAAAGGAGACGCCUGCGGAGAGCCUUGCGUCCUAUUAGCUAGUUGGUGAGGUAAUGGCUCACCAAGGCGAAGAUAGGUAGCCGGCCUGAGAGGGUGGACGGCCACAAGGGGACUGAGAUACGGCCAUUACUCCUACGGGAGGCAGCAGUGGGGAAUAUUGGACAAUGGGGGCAACCCUGAUCCAGCAAUUCUGUGUGCACGAAGAAGGUUUUCGGAUUGUAAAGUGAUUUCAGCAGGGAAGAAGUAAGUGACGGUACCUGCAGAAGAAGCGACGGCUAAAUACGUG
rnacentral:rRNA from 1 species